GGAAGUAACCCAAAAUUUAUCGUAUUAGCUAGAAUCUAGAAACCCUAAAACUGAAAGCAAAGCAGAUACUUAUUAUAAUUGUUGUUGUUAUUGUUGUUGUUGAGUUUUGCCAUCACUUUUAGAUCAUGUUCUAUUUGUUGAUGUUUAUGCUUGCAAGUUUUGAUACCUUCUAAUUUAUAUCAUUGUAGGUUAUGGAACUAAGUACCUAUCGUCGAUUGAGCAGUUUCCCUGCGCACUUCCCCACACACCCGAAAUCAGUGUUCAUGUGAUCCCAUUGGAUUCAGUCCCACCGGCCGAUCCACUUUUCUCCAUCGACUCGUUAUCCCAAACUCUCAGCUGUAGCAGGUGACUUGUGUAUACAGAAGUAGGUUCUCCUUGAACCUUUGAAGGGAGCCCAAGAUAUUCUGGGAAGUUUGCUGCUUGAAAGCUGCCAGCACCUUCCACUACUUCAAAAGGGUAGUAUCAACCUACUCUUGACACUCCUUAAUGAUCCUUUCCACUUCGAUGGAGUGCCUCAGAGUGACCUUCUUUAGAUUUGCCUCCACGAUUAUGUGCCUAUCCUUUUCGACAGCGAGCUCAACUUCACACUCCUCUGCUUUAGUUUCCAUCAUCACCAGGCGCUCGGUGAUGACUCACUGUUGCUCAUUUAUUAUUUUAUUUUUUUCUCUCACCUUUUUGUACAGCUCGCGUACCCUGUUUAGAUCAUCCCGAGUAUCAACGAGCUCCUUAUCACGGGCCUCCGUGUACCUCAAUCCAAGAGUGCCAACCUUAGACAAUAGGCGGUGUAAAGAUAAGGGUAAGUCCUCUACAGCCUCAACAGGCACCCUUUCACCUGUGGGAGCCAUCGGAGAAUUUUCGCAAACAGGAGAGAAAGAGUAUCGUCGGUAAUAGUAAUCGAUGAGCUCGCUUGGCCAACGAUUGGCAAGUUCGUUGGAGGGGAAGAAUGGAUAGGGGUAACUAUAGUAGCAAAGCCUCCACUAUCAACCAUCAUCUUCUAGCGGUGCUCCAGUUAAGGACCACUACCUUCCUCCUCACUAGAGGGGUUGACAUGUGUGGCCUAAGUUGAAGUCCCGCGCCUCUUGCGACUACCACUUAUUAAAACAUCAAUGUCCAUGGCUUCAUUAUGCUCGUGUGAGAUGCUAUCACUAUCAGUGUCGCUUAAACUACCUUCGCUGCCCUGAUUGCCUCUUGCACCACCAAGAACAAUAGAAUCAGUAGAAGUAAGUGACAAGUGAGUACCUCUAACCCCUUCUCUUGCUCAAAUUUUGGGAAGGCAAAGGGACGAAGCGCUAUCCUGUAAUAGUGGUAGAAGUAGUUAGCGAGUUUCCUCAUGCGCCCCGUCAAUUUUAUCUCCAUAGGGUAGAGGGAAUCAAUGGGCUAAAUACCCCUCGUUGGUGGCCCACCAACUGAUCACGCGACCUCUUAAUUCUCGUCAACCCUCUAACCAUUCGGGAAAAAAUUCUCCAGACAGAUGCUCCUAGCAAUUUGAACCUAUAAACUAAAAAAAUAGUUUCAUCAUUUUUUCUUUAAAAACAGAGAGAAAGCUCUCUCUCUCUCUUCUCCGGCCAUGGGCCAACGUGCCGGCCGCCGUGCAUGGCGGAGGAGAGACCAAAAGUUUCCCCCUUUUUUGCUUUCUGCCCCUCGAGCACUCCGGUACCACCGAACAAAGGUAAAAAACCCUUUUUUUUCUUUUAUUUCAAAUAUAAAUAAUAAAAUAGCAAGAAAAAGAACAAAAAGAAAAAGAAGGCCACCACCUUAAAACACGAUUUCGGUUCUUUUAUUUCUCAAAAUGUUGUUUUUUUUCUUUUGCUUUUGAUUCACUAGUGUCUCCCCCUUUACAAUGGUUUGCAAUCGGUUUCUUUAUACCGAAAUAAAAAACGAAAUCCCUCCAAAAAUUACAUUUUACUCGGCUUUUAUAGCCGAUUGCUACUGCUUGUAUUGUCUUUGCUUGCUUUUUUCUUCUUUGCAGGUGGCGGUGCAAGUAGCCGAUGUGACAAUGGCGGUGGCGGUGGCAGGAGACCAAAAGUCUUCAUGUGUGGCACUAGGGCUAGGGGGCAGGAGGCUGCGGCGCUAGGGUUUCAGUUUUUGAAACCCUAGGCUGACUUUGGGGGGAUUGGGCCUGUUGGGCCUCGGGCUGUAAUGGGUAUUGGGUUUGCUGGGCUUCGGGUUAAAAUUUUGUAAAGGGACUGUUGGCUUUAUUUUUGGGCCGGGCAAAAUAUGGGCCUUACACUAUAUACAAGAGUGGAGUGGAUGAUCUCUAUUUAUAAUUUCUACCUCUUAUAUAUCUAACGAAUAAUAUUCACUCAAA